AGACAUUGAUGGCUGAUUAGCGAAUGUGACAUACCUUUUCUUAUGAAAUUCUUCAUCAUUGAAUCUGCAACUUUUGCUUUCAAAUGUGGUUAAGUUCUCAACAAAUUUAACAUCUUCAAUCUCUGAUUCCACUGAAUGAUGAUGAUGAUGAUGAUUAAUUGUUUCCCUUUGUUUCAGUUGUUGGAGUUCUUCUUUUGUACGUUGAAGCUCUUCCUGUAGAGAAGACAUGCAAUGCGCCAUUAACAUGCUUUCUUCCUUUGCCCUCUGCAGGUUUUCUCGUGUCUCCUCUAGUUCUGCUGCAACAUCACCACUCUGCAUCUGCAUCUAUAUAUAUAUAUAUAUGUAUAUAUACAUAAACAAGCAAUUAACCAAACAAAUUUAUCUCUCUGUAUAUACACACAUUACAUAGAGUUAUAAAUUAUUAAUUAUAACUUAGUAUAAAAUAUAUCCUGCAUCAAUGAUAUUCAUGUAAAAACAAGAAAAAAUUACAAAUAUUUGUCACUUUUUUAAUUAAAAGACAUACUUUUAUUGAUCUGAGACAUGGUUUGUGACACAAUUUGAAACAGUAAAUCAUUAUCUUAAAUUAGAGAUGGAGAUAGAGAAUGAAUAUUUAAUUUUAUUUUUUCCCUAAAUUUAUUCUUUGACAAGAUAACAAAGCAAAGGACAACUAUACAGUUUGCACUGGACAACAUCUCCUCCUAUAAAUUGUGAUACUGUAUGUACCAUAAGUCUACAAUUAGUUGAAAAAAUAUUUUGAAGUUAAAAAAUUAGUAAUUAAUUAUUUUUCUGACCAACAUAUGCAAUGACACAAUUUAUGGGAUAUCAUAGCAGAUAUAACCCCAGUUUGCACCAUGUUGCAAGCAAGCAUAAAAUUGGAGCAUUUUGUUGAUGGAUGAACUUUGAUUCUUUGGAGAACAAUAUCAUGAGUUCCUUUUGUUCGUGGAAUUCUAGGAACAAAGGUUAAGAUAAAUAAAACUAUAAAACCACCUAUAUAGGAUUUGCAAACAAAAAAUGUUUAAGUUAUAUAUAAUAUGUUACAUACUGACAUGUGUGAACUUUAAAUAUGUAGGAUAAUUUGUAUGUGGAUUAAGGAAAGAAUAGACAUAAAUAAAAAAUGUUAUUGGUGCAUAAAAUUUAAGGCUUAUAAAAAUGAAGUAACCAAUGUAUAAAUGGUUUGAAAAUGAUGAAUAUUAAGUGAUGUUAUAUAGAAUUUACCUGUUUGAGCUUGUUGGCAUUUGCAUAGAGCUCUCCAGCUAGAACUUUGUCACCAAACAAUGAGACAGCCUCUUUGACUGACCUGAAAGGUGCCCUUGUGUCUAUCUCUGCUUUUCUCAACAUUAUCACAUUCUCUUCCUUAUUCAUGUUUGUGUUCCUUUCACUCUUACAGAAAUUGGUGAUGAGUUAGAAACAACAAUGAGAUUGGUUGGUGAGAAGUAGGAGUUAGUUAAUUACUAGGAUUGAGUGUAUGUAUCAUGUUAUUAGUGGAAGCUUCUUUUCUUGGCCUCCACUUCAGGGUGGAUGGAUUCUCUUGGGGUUUUUUUUGUUGGAGCUAUGAAUCCGUUUACGAGUUGGAUUUUAGAAGAUAAUAAAUGGGAAAAAAUACUUCAAAGUCAUGAAAUAUAUUUGUAAUAUGACUCUGAAGUCGCUCAUUGUCAUUCUUUUUCCUCCCAGACAUAACUCGUAAAUAGACAUGUGUACAAUAGCAUUAAUUCACAAAAACUAAAAUCAAUCAAUUUUAAUAAGUUGGGUGUUAAAAGAAAUUUAUCAGAACUUAAACUAAAAUGAAUUAAAUUGUCAUGGACCAUAUUAAAAUACGGACUACAUUUUAUUUUUAAAAAAAUACACUGUUCUACAAGAAAAUUUUACUACUAUAAACUCUAUUGGAUUGAUACCUUGCGUGAUUAAUUCCAUAAGAGAAUAAGUGCAGAUAUAAGCUAAAGAGAUACUGCAAUUAUCAUGUAUAGUUUUAUAUGUCCCCAAUAUUUUUAUACAGUUCGGAACCUUUAAGUUCAGCUUUGCCCCUCUUGUUAACUACUAGUUCUGAAAUUGUAACUCACAAGUUCCUGCAAAUCAGAGUGGCUUUGCUAUUUUCAAAAUUAACAUGCUCCUACCCUAUAUAUGUGUAUAUCAUGUUUGUUAAUGAUUUCAAUUAAUAUAUCAUGUUUGUUAAUGAGCUAUACUAUUUGGUAUGAUCCUUUUUGUAUGAAAAUUGACAAAUUGAUUGAUUAACCAAUCACCUAAUGGCUGGCCAAAACCAAUUGGCAAUGAAAUAAAUAAUCCAACAAGUAUUUAAAUCAUUCUCGAGGCAAUGAAAUAGACAAUAUAAAACUUAAUUUCCAACAAAAUGUUUUUAUUGUCCCAUGUUACUAGAUUUUUCUGCUAAAUUUUGAUGUCUAUGAGUUAAGACAAUUGCUAUAUAUGUAAUUUAUAGCGGUUUGGAUAUUCUGAUGAUAUGAUGGGGCACUUCUAAUAAUCAAUGUAAUGCAAUUGUGUUGUAUAUUAAGCUAAGUUUCUUUAGUAACCUGUCUUUUCAAUUUUUUCUUUAAUUCCUCUUCAUGGUUUUUACACUUACUUUACAUCAGUUUUGUGCCACUUUUUAAGGGCAAUUAGAAAUAAAACAAUGAAAUAUCUUCCAUGUAGAAAACGACCGCCACGUUCGAUUUCAGAUACGCUCAUCG
rnacentral:lncRNA from 1 species